UACGAAGGGGGCGAGCGUUGUUCGGAUUUACUGGGCGUAAAGGGCGCGUAGGCGGCCAUUCAAGUCGGAGGUGAAAGCCCAGGGCUCAACCCUGGAAUUGCCUUCGGUACUGUUUGGCUAGAGACCGGAAGAGGUAAGUGGAACUGCGAGUGUAGAGGUGAAAUUCGUAGAUAUUCGCAAGAACACCAGUGGCGAAGGCGGCUUACUGGUCCGGUUCUGACGCUGAGGCGCGAAAGCGUGGGGAGCAAACAGG
rnacentral:rRNA from 1 species